GACAGAGGAUGCAAGCGUUAUCCGGAAUGAUUGGGCGUAAAGCGUCUGUAGGUGGCUUUUCAAGUCCGCCGUCAAAUCCCAGGGCUCAACCCUGGACAGGCGGUGGAAACUGCCAAGCUGGAGUACGGUAGGGGCAGAGGGAAUUUCCGGUGGAGCGGUGAAAUGCGUAGAGAUCGGAAGGAACACCUGUGGCGAAAGCGGCUCACUGGACCAUAACUGACGCUGAGGCGCGAAAGCCAGGGGAGCAAACGGG
rnacentral:rRNA from 1 species